rnacentral:rRNA from 1 species
CUACGGGGUGCUCCAGUGAGGAAUAUUGCACAAUGGGGGGAACCCUGAUGCAGCAACGCCGCGUGGAGGAUGACGCAUUUCGGUGUGUAAACUCCUUUUAUAUGUCAAGAAAAUGACGGUAGCAUAUGAAUAAGCACCGGCUAACUCCGUGCCAGCAGCCGCGGUAAUACGGAGGGUGCAAGCGUUACUCGGAAUUACUGGGCGUAAAGGACGCGUAGGCGGGUUGGAAAGUCAGGUGUGAAAUCCUACAGCUUAACUGUAGAACUGCACUUGAAACUUCUAAUCUAGAGUAUGGGAGGGGGAGAUGGAAUUAGUGGUGUAGGGGUAAAAUCCGUAGAUAUCACUAGGAAUACCUAAAGCGAAGGCGAUCUCCUGGAACAUUACUGACGCUAAGGCGUGAAAGCGUGGGGAGCAAACAGGAUUAGAUACCCCGGUAGUC